rnacentral:rRNA from 1 species
CCCUUAGAUGUUCUGGGCCGCACGCGUGCUACACUGAUGCGCUCAACGAGUUUUAACCUUGCCUGGAAAGGUUGGGUAAUCUUUUUAAAACGCAUCGUGAUGGGGAUAGAUUAUUGCAAUUAUUAAUCUUGAACGAGGAAUUCCUAGUAAACGCAAAUCAUCAAUUUGCAUUGAUUACGUCCCUGCCCUUUGUACACACCGCCCGUCGCACCUACCGAUUGAAUGGUCCGGUGAAGCCUCGGGAUUGUGGCCAGUUCACUUUAUUGGGAGUUGGCUGUGAGAACUUGUCUAAACCUUAUCAUUUAGAGGAAGGUGAAGUCGUAACA